GGAGUGGUAGCUCAGUUUGGGAGAGCGCUAGACUGAAGAUCUAGAUGUCGCGAGUUCGAAUCUCGCCCACUCCA
rnacentral:tRNA from 1 species